AAAACCAGAAGCAUACUGUUCAAGUCUUCAUCACCCAAUGUAUCUUUGACAGUGAAUAAUGUUUUCUAAACAGGUGUCAACUUGCAAAACUGGAAGAAAAAAUUUUAUUCUUAACAUCUCUGCUGAAAUAUAAACAUUUCUCUUGAAAUAUAAAAGGCAACUCUUCUCAUUGAUGUUCUUUAAAUUGCCUCUUCCCUUUCUUACAGAGUAAUUAGCAUUGUCUAUAAUCAAUACAAGUAACCAGUGACAGAGAUGGAAUAAGAACCCAGUAUUCCUGAGAGUACAAUCAAAGCUCUUUCUAAUUCACCAGUAGUUUCUCUACCAGUGUUGCCGAGAGUCUAGGGUUAUGUAUUUGGGGUCAGAGUAGGUGAUGAUAAAAGCUGUCAAGUGGGCAGGCUCCAGGACCCCAUACCUGCUUCAGCUUCAGAAAAUUUUGUUUCAUUGAUUUCAUAAAUUUGAACUUAUUUGAUUUUAUGUAAAUAAAGGUUCUCCACUGCCUAAGUAAGCUUGAAAACCACUCUUGUACAUCAUGUUUUCAUGCUAUCUAAUUAGCCACAACCUCUCCCAUAUUAAAAAUAGAUAAGUUGACUAUGUUAAUCUCAUUGUAUGAUGGUAUCCUAGACUGGGGUGCACAGAGAUAAGGGUUCAGGACUUUGAGGAGUCACUGAAUCUUUACAAAAAAACUAGGACUAUUUUUUAAUUAUUUCAGAAGAUAGAAGUCAAUUGCUUUCAUGAAAUUAUCAAAACACUCUAUCACUCCACAAACAUUAAAAACGAUUACUUUAAAUAAUGUUUCUCUCUUUGAAGUGUUGGUUAUACAAAUUAUCUUAUCCACCAGAAACUUGGUCUUUACAUUUGAUCUAAGUUUGAAAACAGAAAAGGAAAAUCUCCAGCCACCAUAAAUAAAGAGUCUAACAGCUACAGUGUUUAGUGGACAUUAGAGUGCACAGGAAAAUUCACUGUCAAAAGAGUUGGCCAACAGNNNNNNNNNNNNNNNNNNNNNNNNNNNNGAGGGUCUAGAGAUAAUAAUCUAAAAAUGAAAUUAAAAUUGGUACAUUUUAAAAUAAAAAUAUACAGAAACAGAAUUUUUUUAAAAAUUAGAUAUGAAACACUAACAGGCCAAUCUGAAAAGAAACCAAGUAAAAAUUCUACAAAUAAAAACCUCCAAAGCUGGGCUAAACAGUAAAUUUUGUAGCUGAAAAGAGAACUAUUGGCUGUAAGCUAUCAGUCAGAACAAAGGAAAAAGGAAAAAGAAGAUAAACAACAUAAAGGAUAAAAUGAGAAGCUCAAUAACAAGUAAGAGUCACAUUCCAGUAGUCAUGUAUGCACGUGAGAGUUGGAUUAUAAAGAAAGCUGAGCACCAAAGAAUUGAUGCUUUU
rnacentral:lncRNA from 1 species